AAUUUUUUAAGGAAAAAAUUUCUCGAGGCUUAUUGAUGGCAGACAAGAAGAAAAGAUCUAAAUCAAGAGCUUGUUAGCUAAGAAGGCAAGCUGAGCUGCGAAUUAACUGGUGCUAUAAAUAUUGAUGUAUGCCGAUGACAUUGCAGUAUCAAAUACACACAAGUUGUUACGCCGAGAGAUACACUACACUGUCUUUUUAUCGUUGUAACCAAACGCCAAUUAUCGACGCCCCCAAGGAGAGAAAAAUGAAGCCUUACGAUCUUACGAAUGAGUCCAAGAUGCCGUGUGCCUUCAGAUCUUCAUUGGAGAUCCCGAUUUGGAAGACUUGGCUCUUGGCAUCAACUCUGGGUCUUUAUCACGGUCUAACGAGCAAUUUGCCGGCUCGUGAGUAGAUACAGAGGUGUACUUACAUUAAAGCUAGUGACAUUGCCGUCUCAGUCUCAGCCUCGUCUCACUAUAUAUCUUUGUGCUGGACCCGAACGGGAUGAAAGUGACUAGACUUACGAAGAAGAUACAAGAUAUCAAAAAGCCGUGAGCAAAAGAGAUAUUGACAGGCUCAAAAGGUACCGCUCAAAUGAUGUGUCAUCGAACUGGUUCCUGGGUUCCACAAUAACCACUGCUCUGAGAUUUUUCGACACGUGCACAAGGAAAAUACUAAACAGUAUUUUGAUGUCUUUUGAAGAUACCGUCCAACCAAUUGGUUAACAUAUUCUCCAUGUCAUCGAAAUAAGCGUCGACGAUCACUGUGGUUCACAAGUCACGGAAGUCACAAAACGACCCCCAAGGUAUUCCGAGGCUUAAUUAUUGAUAAAUUGAUGAUGUGAAAUAAUAUGAGCUUCCUGGGAAAAAAUCAAAUCGUAAGAUUAAAUAAACGAAAAAAACAAACUGGAUUAACGUCUUUGAGAUUGAGCACAAAGUUUAGGGUGUUCAUCAGUACAGGGGUCCAGGUUGAAUUUAGCUUGAUGAUUCAUCCAAGUGAACGAGCCGCCACAACGGCCAACCUUCUCUCCGCCCAACGUCAAAAACAAAACGCCUCCGGAUCGCGAAAUGCCUCUCAAUCGAAUUUAUGCGACUAUACAUUUAAGAGAACUACGUAUGUGCGCUUCUGGUCUAGAUCGCACGAAUGGGUGAGUACACCACUUACCACUUGGGUGCACGUAAUCGUCGACCCCGUUGUUUGUGGUCACUCUUCAGCGCAACGACAAAGACAUUUGCUUGCCCUGGCAUCAAUAUCGAAGCUACCCGUCUAUUGUGCACCGGGGGUUUAUUUCUUUUUUGGUUUGGAAAACCCAGGACUCCUUUGUUCUUACUCUCUGACCCCACUGGCUCCAACAUUUUUUUAUUUACCAUCAACCAUCAUUAUUGCACAUUCGGGGGGCUUCACUGAUAAUAGACCGGCUGUUUUUACUUUUUGUGACUUCAAAGUCCUUCAAAUAAUCAAAUAUUUGUUUAUUUAAAUAAAACCUCG
rnacentral:lncRNA from 1 species